UACGGAGGGUGCAAGCGUUAUCCGGAUUCACUGGGUUUAAAGGGUGCGUAGGCGGGUAAGUAAGUCAGUGGUGAAAUCUUCAAGCUUAACUUGGAAACUGCCAUUGAUACUAUUAGUCUUGAAUUCUGUUGAGGUAGGCGGAAUAAGUCAUGUAGCGGUGAAAUGCAUAGAUAUGACUUAGAACACCAAUUGCGAAGGCAGCUUACUAAGCAGAUAUUGACGCUGAGGCACGAAAGCGUGGGGAUCAAACAGG
rnacentral:rRNA from 1 species